UCUGUAUCUCUAAAUUACGGCUGGGGGUGGAUGUGGAUAUCUUCUUCAUAGUCGAAUCAAAUAAAACAGAAUCAAAUAAAAAGAGAAAUUCUCAAUACAUUUCAAAUAUCUAGUACACAAGAUAAAAUAUUAAUGUUAGUUCAGCCCACUCCACAUAUCCCCACCUCUACCCCUCCUGCCGUAAGAGAUAGGAUACAGAGUUAUUUCAUGAUCAAUUCCAGUUAGAAAAGUAUAGGAAUGCCAUCUUUGGUUAAAUAUAAGGAAGAUAGGUCUAAUGUUUACUGCUAUCUACCAGGAGAUAAGACUACUUCAAGAGAAGCAUGGAUUAGAUCCCUCCUUGCCUCUGGCCAUGUUUAGAAAAUGGAUGACUACAAAAAGGAAAUUCUUUCUUUGUAAAGCAGAUGAUACUGGACAACCACAAAGCAAGAAAUGGAAGAGCACCAAAAAUAGAUAUUCUAGAAUUUGGGCUGAAAGAAGAUGCUUAUAAGAAUUCAGAAUUGGGAGCAAGUACUCAAUAAUAGUAGAAAGAGCUAGAGAAGGCUUUAUGGAAGAUGAACAGAUGGCUACUCAGAGAGGCUACAGACAAGAAUAGUCCUGUAAAGUUGUCUUACAUGGAGGAGAGUUGCAUCUGUAGAGAAAAUAUGCACGAAUGAAAUAAACAGGCUGGGCGCGGUGGCUCACGCCUGUAAUCCCAGCACCUUGGGCGGCUGAGGCGGGCGGAUCACAAGGUCCGGAGAUCAAGACCAUCCUGGCUAACACCGUGAAAACCCGUCUCUACUGAAAAUACAAAAAAUUAGCCGGGCGUGGUGGCGGGCGCCUGUAGUCCCAGCUACUUGGGAGGCUGGGGCAGGAGAACGGCAUGAACCCGGGAGGCGGAGCUUGCGGUGAGCCGAGAUUGCGCCACUGCACUCCAGCCUGGGUGACAGAGCGAGACUCUGUCAAAAAAAUAAAAUAAAAUAAAAUAAAUAAAUAAACAGCCAGGCUUUCUCUGAGGCUCUCCCCUCUUGUCCAAAUCUAGGAA
rnacentral:lncRNA from 1 species